UUGCUUCAGCUGCACAGACACUAACACUGGAAUGAUGCAGAGAUGAUUAGCAUGGCCCCUGUGCAAGGACGACACGCAAGUUUGUGAAGCCCUCCAUCUCUGG
ensembl:snRNA U6 U6 spliceosomal RNA